ensembl:snoRNA SNORA63 Small nucleolar RNA SNORA63
AAGAGGAUUUUAACUACAGUAUAGAAUAUAAAGGUUGUGCUGUUGGUCCCCCUGCUUUAAAUAAAAUUGUUUCUUAAAUGUACCUGUCUGCUUGACUCCUGUUGCAGCCAGGGAUACUUGGUCUCAUAGAU